UGGCUCAGUGGUUAAGAGCACUGGUUGCUCUUUCAGAGGACCUGGGUUCAAUUCCCAG
rnacentral:tRNA from 1 species